GAAUGUUUGGGCCAAAGGCCCAAAGUCCUAACACCAAACCAUGUCUGAAUAUUGCCAUGGCCUCAAGAACCACACUGAACCCGUUCUUUCUCCAACAACAACAAUCUUCGGCGCCUUAAAACCAUGUUCACAACUCAAAAAAACGACGGCGAGAUCCCAGUAAUCGAUGACGAAACAUCAAAUAAACCAAAUACGGUUCUUACCCAUAAAGAUCUCGAGCUCCUAACGCAACAAACUCGUGCAAGCAAACGCUUAUAUGGUCUCUGAAGGAAGAUUCAAGGAUCGAAUUUCACCAUCACGAACCAAAUCCGUGUUCAAAUUCGUCGUCAAGCCAAAUUCGACCAUUUCUUAUUCUUCCGCGUGAAUUAACGAGAUUGAAGGAAGAAAAAGAACCUACCGGGUAAAGCGUUUCGACCCUUCUCUUUGUGUGUAUUGCGCGCUUCUGUUUUGAUUUUCUACUUUGAUCUCGACUUUCUGUUACGAGCUUCAUUUAUGUGUCAUUGUUGUUCGUAAUCUCGUUGCCUUCUUGAUGGGCGGAUUGAGGCAUAAUGAUGAAUGGCAAAGAAUGAAAAUGUUGAAUUGUUGUUCUUUAAUUCACAAUUGUGAAAAGGUUGCCUUGAUGAUGCGGUACAUGAUCUGGCUCAGGUCCCAUGGUUGGCUAGGACUGUUUUAGAGUCUUGGUGUUCAUGUUUUGGCAUGGUAAUUGAAGUGUGUGGGCUGCUAGGAACCCAUGGUUUUGGAGUUUUGGACAUGUUGGUUACCAAGUAGUUAUUGGAUUUUGGUUUUUGUAGGAUUAUCUCUGCAAUGUUAGUUAAAAAUUGUAUGUGAUAUUGGAAUUGAAAAUUGUAUAGAGUUUGUAUGACACAAUGAAAUCUAAAAUUUGAAUUGUAAUGGUUUUAGCAAUUGAUUGAAAUUUGUACAUGGAUUGUGAGAUUGAACGUAUGGAAUUUUGACAUGGUUGAAGUUUGAAUGAAGGUUUAAAUUGGAUUA